AUCAAGUUUCCUCCUCAGAAAAUAAGCAAUAAGACGCUGAGCAGCACCGCCUCACCUCUUCCUCCACCUGCAGCUCCUGCAGCUCCCUCUUGUCGCCCAUGAACCUCAACACGGUGAUCCACACGGCUAACGCAGCCUGGAAGACAGGGAAAAAGAGGUUUUAAUCAGAUCUUCGAUGAGCUCAUCACAGGAUACUCUGAAGCUGAAACUCACCAGCUGGUCUCCUUCGUCCUCGUGAAACAGCAGCGGUUGCUUCAGCGGCCGCCUGAUGUAGGUGUGAGUGGAAA